CUUAUUAAUAAAUGUAAGGAAAAAAAGGCGAGGAAAGUAGCAAUUCCAGGAAGUCUCGCCCUCUGUUUCUAAUACUGUGCAUUGAAUAAAUAAAUAAAAAAGAAGAAGAAGAAGAAGAUUAGAGGAAGCUCCAAUGUCAAAAGGUAGAGAGAAAUAAAUAUUCAGACUCUAGUAAUUUUGACUCUAACAACCCAAAAAUUUCUUAGUGUCUUGCAAUUUUGGACAAACAACGUCCGCGACUAUGGCUCCAACGACAAGCUCAAGAAUCUUUUCUCUUGGAUGGAGUUGGGACGUCUUUUUGAGCUUCAGAGGUGAAGACACUCGCUUCACUUUUACAGAUCAUCUUCAUUCCGCUUUGCGUCAGAAGCGCAUCCGCACCUUCAGAGACGAUGAAGGACUUGAUAGAGGAGAAGAGAUCGGGUCAUCAAUCUUGAAGGCUAUUGAAGAGUCGAGGAUGUAUAUUGUGGUUUUUUCGAACACCUAUGCUCAUUCAAAAUGGUGCUUGGAUGAGCUGGCCAAGAUCAUGGAGUGCAAGAUACAAAAGGGGCAGACGGUAGUGCCAGUUUUCUACCAUGUGGAACCAUCUGAUGUGCGAAAUCAGACGGGAAGUUUUGGAGAAGCAUUUGAUAAAUACCAGAAGGUCCCGGAGCAUAAGUUGAUGCGAUGGAAGGCGGCGUUGAGGCAUGCAGCCAAUUUGUCUGGAUGGCAUGUGCAGCAUGGGUAUGAAUCACAGGCUAUUCAGAGAAUUGUUCAAAACAUUUUAAGUAGGAAUCUUAAACUCUUAUCUGCUAGUGAUAAGCUGGUUGGAAUGGAACGUCAUCGGAAAGAAAUGGCCUCUCUAAUAUCUAUUGACUCAAAUGAUGUCCGCAUGAUUGGGAUAAAUGGAAUUGAUGGAAUAGGCAAGACAACUCUAGCCAAAGCUGUAUAUAACCAAAUUGUUCAUCAAUUUGAUGGUGCUAGCUUUCUUUCCAAUUUUAGUAGUCAUGAGAUGAAUUUGCUUCAGUUACAAAAGCAACUUCUUAGAGAUAUUCUAGGGGAAGACAUUCCGAGGAUAACAGACAUUUCUAAAGGGGCUCAUGUAAUAAGGGACAUGCUUUGGUCUAAAAAGGUUCUUGUUGUUCUUGAUGAUGUUGAUGGUACUGGCCAACUUGAAUUCUUAGUUAUAAAUAGAGCAUUUGGUCCAGGUAGUAGAAUUAUUGUAACAUCUAGACACAAAUAUUUGCUUGCUGGCUAUGGACUGGAUGCACUAUAUGAGGUUAAGGAAUUAAAUUGUAAGGAAGCUAUUCAACUCUUUUCUUUGCAUGCGUUUCACAUGAACAGUCCUCAAAAAGGUUUUAUGAACCUAUCGAGAUGGAUAGUAGAUUAUUGUAAGGGACUUCCAAUAGCUCUUGAAGUUCUAGGUUCUCACUUGUUUGGUAAGAAAAAAUUUGAAUGGGAAAGUGUCCUGCAAAGGCUAGAGAAACGACCUAACAAGCAAAUCCAAAAUGUGCUUAUGAGAGGUUUUCAAGGACUGGAUGGUUGUCAUAGAGAGAUAUUCCUCGAUGUUGCGUGCUUCUUCAAAGGAGAGGACUUGGAUUUUGUUGAACGAAUACUUGAAGCUUGCAAUUUCUAUUCAAAACUAGGAAUAAAAGUGCUCACUGACAACUCUCUCAUUAGUAUUUUGGACAACAAAUUACUGAUGCAUGAUCUGAUACAAAAAAGUGGUUGGGAAAUUGUUCGGGAGCAAUAUCAUACUGAACCUGGCAAAUGGAGCAGAUUGUGGGAUCCUGAAGAUGUUUAUCAUGUAUUGACGACAAAUACGGGGACUAAAAGAAUUGAAGGCAUAUUCCUAAACAUGUUUGUAUCAAAUGAAAUACAUCUUACCUCUGAUGCUUUCAAAAAGAUGACAAGACUUAGAUUGCUCCGAGUCUAUCAAAAUGUAGAAAAUAAUUCUAUAGUUUCUAACACCGUCCAUCUUCCUCAUGAUUUUAAAUUUCCUUCUCAUGAGUUGAGAUAUCUCCAUUGGGAUGGAUGGACUUUGGAGUCAUUGCCAUCAAAUUUUGAUGGUUGGAAAUUGGUUGAACUCAGUUUGAAGCAUAGCAGCUUAAAACACCUCUGGAAAAAGCGUAAGUGUCUUCCAAAGUUAGAAGUCAUCAAUCUCGGUAACUCCCAACACCUUAUGGAAUGUCCAAACUUGUCUUUUGCACCACGUGUGGAGCUGCUAAUUCUUGAUGGUUGUACGAGUUUGCCUGAGGUGCACCCAUCAGUUACAAAGCUGAAGAGGCUUACGAUCUUGAAUAUGAAAAACUGCAAAAAGCUUCACUAUUUUCCAAGCAUCACUGGAUUGGAAUCACUUAAAGUUCUUAACCUCUCCGGCUGCUCUAAACUUGACAAGUUUCCAGAGAUCCAAGGGUAUAUGGAAUAUUUGUUGGAGCUUAAUUUGGAAGGGACUGCUAUUGUAGACCUUCCCCCUUCAGUGGUGUUUCUCCCAAGACUUGUUUUAUUGGAUAUGCAAAACUGCAAAAACCUUAUGAUUCUUCCAAGCAACAUUUAUUUUUUGAAAUCCCUGACAACUCUGGUGCUCUCUGGCUGUUCAGGUCUAGAGAGGUUUCCGGAAAUCAUGGAGGUUAUGGAAUGUUUACAAAAGCUUCUUUUAGAUGGAACAUCUCUAAAAGAGCUGCCCCCCUCAAUUGUUCAUGUAAAAGGCCUUCAGUUAUUGAAUCUGAGAAAAUGCAAAAACCUCAGGAGUCUUCCAAAUAGCAUUUGCAGUUUGAGAUCCCUUGAAACCCUCAUUGUCUCUGGCUGUUCAAAACUCAGCAAAUUGCCAGAGGACCUGGGGAGGUUGCAAUUCUUGAUGAAACUUCAAGCUGAUGGAACUGCUAUAACUCAACCACCUCUCUCACUUUUUCAUUUGAGAAACCUUAAAGAGUUAUCCUUUAGGGGAUGUAAAGGAUCAACAUCUAACUCCUGGAUUUCAUCCCUUCUAUUUAGGUUACUGCAUAGAGAAAAUUCAGAUGGGACUGGCUUGCAGUUGCCUUAUUUGUCAGGUUUAUACUCCUUAAAAUAUUUAGAUCUUAGUGGCUGCAAUCUAACAGAUAGAUCGAUCAAUGACAAUCUUGGCCACUUAAGCUUCUUGGAAGAAUUAAACCUUAGCAGAAACAAUUUGGUUACCGUACCUGCGGAGGUGAAUAGACUUUCUCAUCUAAGGGUCCUUUCUGUGAAUCAGUGCAAAAGCCUUCAAGAAAUUUCCAAGCUCCCACCAAGUAUAAAAUUAUUAGAUGCUGGGGAUUGCAUAUCCCUUGAAUCUUUAUCAGUUCUAUCUCCACAGUCGCCACAGUACCUAUCGUCUUCCUCUUGCCUUCGUCCUGUAACUUUCAAACUGCCGAAUUGCUUCGCACUAGCUCAGGAUAAUGGGGCAACUAUACUGGAGAAACUUCGUCAGAACUUUCUUCCAGAAAUUGAAUACAGUAUUGUUCUUCCUGGAAGUACAAUUCCAGAGUGGUUCCAGCAUCCAAGUAUCGGAUCCUCAGUAACAAUAGAGCUGCCUCCAAAUUGGCAUAACAAGGACUUCCUGGGUUUUGCUCUAUGCUCUGUGUUCUCACUUGAGGAAGAUGAAAUCAUUCAAGGCUCUGGUCUCGUUUGUUGUAAUUUUGAAUUUAGAGAAGGGCCUUAUUUGAGUAGCUCCAUCUCUUGGACACACAGCGGAGACAGAGUGAUUGAGACUGAUCACAUAUGGCUGGUGUAUCAACCUGGUGCUAAACUUAUGAUACCGAAGUCCAGUAGCCUCAAUAAAUUCAGGAAGAUUACAGCUUAUUUUAGUCUCUCUGGGGCAUCCCAUGUGGUGAAAAACUGUGGAAUCCAUCUUAUAUACGCCCGAGAUAAGAAAGUGAACUAUCAAACAAGGUAUACUAGUGCCAAGAGAAGCAGUGAUGGAAGUCGUUAUUACUGUCUUGAGGAAACACAACCUAAGAAGCUAAGAGGAGGAGAGAACUGUGAGGAAGGAUCCCAUGCUUGAACUCAUCCAAGAAUGCUUAAACUCCAAGAAUGGCUUAUGUCAGCUUAUUGUGGAGGAGUUCCCUGCAGUGGAGAGGAAAACCGUUUUGAUCAACUGAUUUGUUAGAACAAGUUCAGAAUGCAUGAAAGGCAUAUGGUACAUGGAUUUUCUUCAUUGCUUCCACCUAGGCAUCAAAAUGAAGGUUCUUUCAAGGCCUCUCUAAUUUGGUCAACCACCAGCCAAAGGUUGGCCACAAUGCCUCUCCCAGGAAAAUGAUGCCUUAUGAAGUAAGGCUUGAAAUUGUAUGUAGCUGGGAUUUGGUGUCAGCCCAAGAAAUAUAUCCAAGAUCGAGUUGGCUCGGGAUUUGGUAUUGGCUCAAGGAGUAAGCUUGAGAUUGUGUGUUCUUGGGAUUUGGUGUUGGCCUAGGAAGUUUGUCCAAUGUUGUUGGUUUGGGAUUUUGUGUUACUCAAAAACCACAGAAAAAGGAUUAAUUUGAUCCCACUAACAACCUUGGUAGGACAUUAUUGCAGAAGGAACAUCUUAUAAUAGAAGUAUAAUAUCUCCAAAUGUGGGUUUAUAAGGAGGCUUUGAGAGUGAAAUACAAAAGUGCUUUUCACUUGUUUAUUUGCAUAACAUGGAAUUGCAUGUGGACAAGCCUCAAAAACUGAUGCCAAUGCCAUACUUUGAUAGCAUUAGCAUGAAGGCUGAUUCUCAUACCUCAAACCCCUUUUUUCCUUACCCAAGAAGAUGACCACAAAAAUUAAUUUUCAAGACUCUAUGAUCUUGAUGGCCAUAGCUUAUACUAUUUCAAACCAUGGUUGUUAUUCAGGAAACCUUUGAUACAAUUUGAGGCCAUCCAUAGAUUAUGAUCAUUUAGUACUUUAGUUUGUGCCUAUAGUAAAAG